GAUGAACGCUGGCGGCGUGCCUAAUACAUGCAAGUCGAGAGAACGGACGAGAAGCUUGCUUCUCUGAUGUUAGCGGCGGACGGGUGAGUAACACGUGGAUAACCUACCUAUAAGACUGGGAUAACUUCGGGAAACCGGAGCUAAUACCGGAUAAUAUUUUGAACCGCAUGGUUCAAAAGUGAAAGACGGUCUUGCUGUCACUUAUAGAUGGAUCCGCGCUGCAUUAGCUAGUUGGUAAGGUAACGGCUUACCAAGGCAACGAUGCAUAGCCGACCUGAGAGGGUGAUCGGCCACACUGGAACUGAGACACGGACCAGACUCCUACGGGAGGCAGCAGUAGGGAAUCUUCCGCAAUGGGCGAAAGCCUGACGGAGCAACGCCGCGUGAGUGAUGAAGGUCUUCGGUUCGUAAAACUCUGUUAUUAGGGAAGAACAUAUGUGUAAGGAACUGUGCACAUCUUGACGGUACCUAAUCAGAAAGCCACGGCUAACUACGUG
rnacentral:rRNA from 1 species